rnacentral:lncRNA from 1 species
UUGAUAUCCGUGCGAGGUAUCAACCUCUACCAACGCUCUGAUUUCUUCCCCACUCAGCACCCCAGGAUUCGGCUUGGCCCACCCACCAUGUGAGUGUGUGUGAUGACUGACUGAAGUUGUAUCCAAAUCUUUUCGAUACUUAAGAAAAAUGUGUUUAUGAUGAACCUUCCUCCUCAGACAACCCCUCUUCAGCCACAAGCUGGGGUGCUCCCCCUUCUAGCCUCCUUUCACCCAUUUCACCACAGAUCGUUCUGAGACCGAACUCUGUCACCCCAACUGAAAAUGAGAGUAAUGACGGCUAUGAGAGUCCAGGAGAAGAUGUGCUAUCUUUGUUCUGUAGAGUAUGUCAACGAGGUGAUGGAUGACUAUGAACCAGGAUCAGGCUACCUAAUAGUGUUACCAUCAGAUCUUCCUGGGACUGGGUCUCUGCGUCAUUCCAACCAAUGUCUCAUCUCCAAAAGCUCCCAAAGCACAGAAAACAGUGGCGCGGUUGGCAAUAUGAACGUCGACGUGGAAAAGAGUGAUGACAGUGAUGAUGGCAGCAACGACUAUGUCAAUACUAAAGAAAAUAGUGGCGCAGAGGGCAAUAUGAAUGUCGUUGUGGAAAAGAGCGAUGACAGUGAUGACGAAGGCAACGACUAUGUCAAUACUAAAGACAUGUGAAGCCUCCCCAUCACGUAGCAGAUUCUGACGGGGAGGGAAUUGAGUCGAUCGACUGGAUUUAUCAUGAGUGCAACCAAGUUUCAAAGGGAAACCUACACAGCGUAACUAACAUCUUCAUAGGGGUUCUGCAAUAUGGACAAGAGCACUGUGCAACUCACUGCUGUGGCUGAUGAAACAUUUCAAAAGACCUUAACCUCAUCCACCAGCUGUCUCUGAACUAUGCGGUAAUAAUUAAGGCCUAGGGAGAACAUGUUCUAAGUUUUAUUGUAUGGUGUAGGGCAAAUGUCUUCGAACACAUCUCUUGGUGCCCCAGCUGCAACCAUAAUGUUAAAUUAAGCUCUUUCCUGACUAUUGAAGAGAGAGGAUGACAGUGGGGAAAAGUGGUGUCGUAGGGCAGAUUUGAACCCAUGUUGACACCGCGGCAUUAUUGUUUUCAAUGUAUGGAUUUGCUGACAACUCCUGAGAAUGUUCGUUCUAGUUUACUCUUUUUCUAAGCUAUAUUUCUUAUUACUGUGGAUUCAAAUCUGGUUUGGAUUUUUUUUUUUGUCAAUAUAAGAAAUGCUUUGCCAUAAUCUAUAGCCCUAUCCUGUCCGAAUAAGUUUUACUGGGGGAGCUCAGUUAAUGUAAUGUGCACAAAUCACCACAUCCAUAGUUUUUCCCAUCCAGUCAUUUUUAAAAUUAUCCCAUCCCAGGUCCUCUUAUACUUAUCCUGUCAUCCCUGUGUUGAGGGAUAUUAGAGUAACAGGUGCUGCACCCAGUUUGGGAAAGAACAUGAACAAAUGCUUAAAAAUACACUUUGGAUGUAACCUACAGAUGAAUGAACUUGUGUCACAUCAACUGUCUUAGUGCCAUACUUUUAAAAGAUGAAGUGGAAAAUAUUGUGCCAAUGAAUUGAUAAAUGUUACAGAUCAUGGUUUUUAUUGACUUUCUAUACACUGAAAGCCAUUAGGUCAAUAUUGGGAGAGCCUCCAGGCAACCAUCAUGAGGAAGGAAAAAAAAGAAUUAGGGGCAGUUUGGAAAAAUGGACAAGCUGGAUAUGAAUUACAUAGCCAACGUUCUAUAGUAAUACUAGUCCUGUGCGGAUAGGGCUUAUGAACCAUUGUGAUGUUUUCUGAAUGAAUUGAAGCUGAUAUGGAUGGCAUAGUUCACUAUUAAAGAUGUGGUUCAAAUCAGUAAUGAUCAUUCACAAAUGCUUGUUUGUUACAUACACUGCUCAAAAAAAAAGGGAACACUUAAACACAAUGUAACUCCAAGUCAGACUUCUAUGAAAUUAAACUGU